rnacentral:rRNA from 1 species
GAAAGGUGAAAAGUACCCCGGAAGGGGAGUGAAAGAGAACUUGAAACCGUGUGCUUACAAGUAGUCAGAGCCCGUUAAUGGGUGAUGGCGUGCCUUUUGUAGAAUGAACCGGCGAGUUACGAUCUGAUGCAAGGUUAAGCAGCAAAUGUGGAGCCGCAGCGAAAGCGAGUCUGAAUAGGGCGUUGAGUAUUUGGUCGUAGACCCGAAACCAGGUGAUCUACCCUUGGUCAGGUUGAAGUUCAGGUAACACUGAAUGGAGGACCGAACCGACUUACGUUGAAAAGUGAGCGGAUGAACUGAGGGUAGCGGAGAAAUUCCAAUCGAACUUGGAGAUAGCUGGUUCUCUCCGAAAUAGCUUUAGGGCUAGCCUCAAGUGAUGAUUAUUGGAGGUAGAGCACUGUUUGGACGAGGGGCCCCUCUCGGGUUACCGAAUUCAGACAAACUCCGAAUGCCAAUUAAUUUAACUUGGGAGUCAGAACAUGGGUGAUAAGGUCCGUGUUCGAAAGGGAAACAGCCCAGACCACCAGCUAAGGUCCCAAAAUAUAUGUUAAGUGGAAAAGGAUGUGGCGUUGCCCAGACAACUAGGAUGUUGGCUUAGAAGCAGCCAUCAUUUAAAGAGUGCGUAAUAGCUCACUAGUCGAGUGACACUGCGCCGAAAAUGUACCGGGGCUAAACAUAUUACCGAAGCUGUGGAUUGUCCUUUGGACAAUGGUAGGAGAGCGUUCUAAGGGCGUCGAAGCAUGAUCGCAAGGACAUGUGGAGCGCUUAGAAGUGAGAAUGCCGGUGUGAGUAGCGAAAGACGGGUGAGAAUCCCGUCCACCGAUUGACUAAGGUUUCCAGAGGAAGGCUCGUCCGCUCUGGGUUAGUCGGGUCCUAAGCUGAGGCCGACAGGCGUAGGCGAUGGAUAACAGGUUGAUAUUCCUGUACCACCUAGUAUCGUUUUAAUCGAUGGGGGGACGCAGUAGGAUAGGCGAAGCGUGCUGUUGGAGUGCACGUCCAAGCAGUAAGGCUGAGUGUUAGGCAAAUCCGGCACUCAUAAGGCUGAGCUGUGAUGGGGAGAGGAAAUUGUUUCCUCGAGUCGUUGAUUUCACACUGCCGAGAAAAGCCUCUAGAUAGAUAACAGGUGCCCGUACCGCAAACCGACACAGGUAGUCAAGAUGAGAAUUCUAAGGUGAGCGAGCGAACUCUCGUUAAGGAACUCGGCAAAAUGACCCCGUAACUUCGGGAGAAGGGGUGCUCUUUAGGGUUCACGCCCAGAAGAGCCGCAGUGAAUAGGCCCAAGCGACUGUUUAUCAAAAACACAGGUCUCUGCUAAACCGUAAGGUGAUGUAUAGGGGCUGACGCCUGCCCGGUGCUGGAAGGUUAAGAGGAGUGGUUAGCUUCUGCGAAGCUACGAAUCGAAGCCCCAGUAAACGGCGGCCGUAACUAUAACGGUCCUAAGGUAGCGAAAUUCCUUGUCGGGUAAGUUCCGACCCGCACGAAAGGCGUAACGAUUUGGGCACUGUCUCAACGAGAGACUCGGUGAAAUCAUAGUACCUGUGAAGAUGCAGGUUACCCGCGACAGGACGGAAAGACCCCGUGGAGCUUUACUGUAGCCUGAUAUUGAAAUUCGGCACAGCUUGUACAGGAUAGGUAGGAGCCUUUGAAACGUGAGCGCUAGCUUACGUGGAGGCGUUGGUGGGAUACUACCCUAGCUGUGUUGGCUUUCUAACCCGCACCACUUAUCGUGGUGGGAGACAGUGUCAGGCGGGCAGUUUGACUGGGGCGGUCGCCUCCUAAAAGGUAACGGAGGCGCUCAAAGGUUCCCUCAGAAUGG